CGGCGGACGGGUGAGUAACACGUGGAUAACCUACCUAUAAGACUGGGAUAACUUCGGGAAACCGGAACUAAUACCGGAUAAUAUAUUGAACCGCAUGGUUCAAUAGUGAAAGACGGUUUUGCUGUCACUUAUAGAUGGAUCCGCGCCGCAUUAGCUAGUUGGUAAGGUAACGGCUUACCAAGGCAACGAUGCGUAGCCGACCUGAGAGGGUGAUCGGCCACACUGGAACUGAGACACGGUCCAGACUCCUACGGGAGGCAGCAGUC
rnacentral:rRNA from 1 species